rnacentral:rRNA from 1 species
UACGUAGGUGGCAAGCGUUAUCCGGAAUUAUUGGGCGUAAAGCGCGCGUAGGCGGUCCUUUAAGUCUGAUGUGAAAGCCCACGGCUCAACCGUGGAGGGUCAUUGGAAACUGGGGGACUUGAGUGCAGAAGAGGAGAGCGGAAUUCCACGUGUAGCGGUGAAAUGCGUAGAGAUGUGGAGGAACACCAGUGGCGAAGGCGGCUCUCUGGUCUGUAACUGACGCUGAGGCGCGAAAGCGUGGGGAGCGAACAGG